rnacentral:rRNA from 1 species
UACGGAGGGAGCUAGCGUUGUUCGGAAUUACUGGGCGUAAAGCGCACGUAGGCGGAUCCUUAAGUCGGGGGUGAAAACUCGGGGCUCAACUCCGAGCUUGCAGUCGAUACGGGCAGGCUAGAGUUCGGCAGGGGAGACUGGAAUUCCUGGUGUAGCGGUGGAAUGCGCAGAUAUCAGGAGGAACACCGGUGGCGAAGGCGGGUCUCUGGGCAACAACUGACGCUGAGGAGCGAAAGCGUGGGGAGCGAACAGG